UACGUAGGGUGCAAGCGUUGCCCGGAUUUAUUGGGCGUAAAGGGCGCGUAGGCGGCUCGGCACGUCCGUUGUGAAAUCGCCCGGCUCAACUGGGCGAGGUCGGCGGAUACGGCGUGGCUGGAGCAAGCUAGGGGGCAAUGGAAUUCCCGGUGUAGUGGUGGAAUGCGUAGAUAUCGGGAGGAACACCAGUGGCGAAGGCGGUUGCCUGGAGCUUUGCUGACGCUGAGGCGCGAAAGCGUGGGGAGCGAUCCGG
rnacentral:rRNA from 1 species